UACGGGGGGGGCAAGCGUUGUUCGGAUUUACUGGGCGUAAAGGGCGCGUAGGCGGCGCAACAAGUCACUUGUGAAAUCUCCGGGCUUAACCCGGAGCGGCCAAGUGAUAUUGUCGUGCUAGAGUGCGGAAGGGGCUACUGGAAUUCUCGGUGUAGCGGUGAAAUGCGUAGAUAUCGAGAGGAACACCUGCGGCGAAGGCGGGUAGCUGGGCCGACACUGACGCUGAGGCGCGAAAGCCAGGGGAGCGAACGGG
rnacentral:rRNA from 1 species